CCUACGGGCGGCAGCAGUGGGGAAUAUUGGUCAAUGGGCGCGAGCCUGAAACAGCCAAGUAGCGUGAAGGAUGACUGCCCUACGGGUUGUAAACUUCUUUUAUAAAGGAAUAAAGUGAGGCACGAGUGCCUUUUUGUAUGUACUUUAUGAAUAAGGAUCGGCUAACUCCGUGCCAGCAGCAGCGGUAAUACGGAGGAUCGGAGCGUUAUCAGGAUUUAUUGGGUUGAAAGGGAGCGUAGAUGGGUUGUUAAGUCAGUUGUGAAAGUUUGCGGCUUAACCGGAAAAUUGCAAUUGAUACUGGCAGCCUUGAGUACAGUAGAGGUAGGCGGAAUUCGUGGUGUAGCGGUGAAAUGCUUAGAUAUCACGAAGAACUCCGAUUGCGAAGGCAGCCUACUAAACUGCCACUGACAUUGAUGCUCGAAAGUGUGGGUAUCAAACAGGAUUAGAUACCCUAGUAGUC
rnacentral:rRNA from 1 species